AUUGAACGCUGGCGGAAUGCUUUACACAUGCAAGUCGAGCGGCAGCGCGGGGGGCAACCCUGGCGGCGAGCGGCGAACGGGUGAGUAACAUAUCGGAACGUACCCUGUCGUGGGGGAUAACUAUCCGAAAGGAUAGCUAAUACCGCAUACGACCUGAGGGUGAAAGCGGGGGACCGCAAGGCCUCGCGCGAUAGGAGCGGCCGAUAUCGGAUUAGCUAGUUGGUGAGGUAAAGGCUCACCAAGGCGACGAUCCGUAGCGGGUCUGAGAGGACGACCCGCCACACUGGAACUGAGACACGGUCCAGACUCCUACGGGAGGCAGCAGUGGGGAAUUUUGGACAAUGGGGGCAACCCUGAUCCAGCCAUUCCGCGUGAGUGAAGAAGGCC
rnacentral:rRNA from 1 species